rnacentral:ncRNA from 1 species
UUAAAGUUUUAUUCUUGCUUAAUUUUUUUUUUUUUCUAAAGAUUACAUGAUAGUUUUGUAUACUUAAUGUUCAUUAUUCAUUAAUUUAUAUUAUUAAUCAGAUUAUUCUGGAAAUAGUUAUAGAAUUAGUAUUGGCUUAAUUCGUGCCAGCAGCUGCGGUUAUACGAUUACAUACAAUAAAAAAUUAUUGGUUUGCAGUUAAUUUUAUUAUGAGAAUUAGAUAAAUAUUAUUUGGUGAAAUAAAAAUAUUUAUUUUCUUUAAUAUUGAAGCUGUUAAAUUUUCAAUUAAACUAGGAUUAGAUACCCUAUUAUUUAAAAUGUAAAUUUUAUUAUCCUGGGUACUAUUAGUUAAGUUCUUUAAACUCAAAGAAUUUGGCGGUAUUUUAUCUAUUUAGAGGAACCUGUCCUAUAAUUGAUGGUUCACGAUUACAUUAACUUUAUUUAUUUGUUUAUAUAUCUCCGUUAUCAGAAAAUUUCAUUAGAAUUAAAAUUUUCUAUUAUUUUUAUUAGAAUAUAUUUCAGGUCAAGGUAUAGCUUAUAUUAAAGUAGAGAUGGGUUACAAUAAAUUUAUUUAAAUGGAUUUUAAUAUUUAUAAUUAAUUGAAGGUGGAUUUAAUAGUAAUUAAAGUAUUAUAACUUUAAUGAUUUUAGCUCUAAUAUAUGUACACAUCGCCCGUCAUUCUCGUUAUUAAUUUAAUUAUUGAUUUAUUUUAUAUGAGACAAGUCGUAACAUAGUAGAGGUACUGGAAAGUGCAUCUAGAAUGA